rnacentral:sRNA from 1 species
GAGUUGCGUGAGGGAUUGCAGCGGAAAUCCUUUUUUGUUCUUUCUUUUAGAACAAAAAAGAUUAUAGCGGAAAGCCCGACCUCAA